AAUGAACGCUGGCGGCAUGCCUAACACAUGCAAGUCGAACGAAGGCUUCGGCCUUAGUGGCGCACGGGUGCGUAACGCGUGGGAAUCUGCCCUUGGGUUCGGAAUAACGGUUAGAAAUGACUGCUAAUACCGGAUGAUGACGUAAGUCCAAAGAUUUAUCGCCCAAGGAUGAGCCCGCGUAGGAUUAGCUAGUUGGUGGGGUAAAAGCCCACCAAGGCGACGAUCCUUAGCUGGUCUGAGAGGAUGAUCAGCCACACUGGGACUGAGACACGGCCCAGACUCCUACGGGAGGCAGCAGUGGGGAAUAUUGGACAAUGGGCGAAAGCCUGAUCCAGCAAUGCCGCGUGAGUGAUGAAGGCCUUAGGGUUGUAAAGCUCUUUUACCCGGGAUGAUAAUGACAGUACCGGGAGAAUAAGCUCCGGCUAACUUCGUGCCAGCCGCCGCGGUAAUAC
rnacentral:rRNA from 1 species